UACGGGGGGUCCAAGCGUUAUCCGGAAUCAUUGGGUUUAAAGGGUCCGUAGGCGGUUUUGUAAGUCAGUGGUGAAAGCCCAUCGCUCAACGGUGGAACGGCCAUUGAUACUGCAAGACUUGAAUUAUUAGGAAGUAACUAGAAUAUGUAGUGUAGCGGUGAAAUGCUUAGAGAUUACAUGGAAUACCAAUUGCGAAGGCAGGUUACUACUAAUGGAUUGACGCUGAUGGACGAAAGCGUGGGGAGCGAACAGG
rnacentral:rRNA from 1 species